UUAGUCUGAGAAAUUCUAAAUCUGGGUAGAUUAUGGAUUUCAUCAUUAUUCAUUCAAUUUUGUUCAUAUGGAAAUUAGAACCCCAAAAAAAUGCAUGCAAUAAAAGAGAGAUUUUCAGAAACACAAUCAAGAUUUUUUUCGGACUUCCCAUCAUCUCGAACGCCAGAUCAAGAACCCAAGGUACCCAUUUUUGGUUUUUCCUUUUUUGGGUCUGCAAAAUUAUGUUAAUAUUUGAUUGAACCCAAUGUUUGAAUUGAUUAUGAGAUUUUUAUGAUUUUUUAUUAAUUAAAAUUGUUUCUUGCGUCUGAUCCGUGAAAAAAAAAAAUUUGGGUUUGAAUACAAGUUAAAUUCCAUGAAUGCUUGAGAAAUUUUUUUUGCUUAUGAUGUUAAUUGAGUUUAUAAUUUGAUUUCAUUUGACAUGCUAAUAGACUUGAUAAAACAAGACCAGUUAGCAUUUUAUAUUUUAUGAAUUUUAGCUCAUUGCACGGGCGGACCCACAUGGGGUCAAAUGACCCCACAGUUUUUUUUUUUUUUUUAUUUGUGCUGAAAACUUAAUUUUCUGUUUUUUUUAAUGCUGAAAACUUAAUUUUCUGCCUCAAAAAGUCCAAAUUCUAAAUCUAUAUCNAUAUCCAUUAUUUAGUCCAUAAAUAUAUCAUAUAAUCCAACGAUUUCUUCCCAAAGUGCACAUAUCGAAUAUGAACAGUAAACCACCGAUUUUUCCUUUUUUUUCAUGAUACGUUGUUCGAAAAAAAAAAAUUUUGACCCCACAAUUCAAAUGGUCUGGGUCCGCCCCUGGCUCAUUGUCUGCGUAAUGUAAAUCUUCUUUUUAGCAGCAAGCUUCCAUGGUGCAACAGGAAGAAGAUAGAGGAAGAAGACGAAUGAUUUUUGUUUUCUCAGUUUUGAUUUUUAAUUAUAUAUUUUUGAUUAAUUUAUAAUUUUUUGAAAUUUUGGGAUUAUUGUUGGAAAUUUAUCCUUUCAUUUCAUUUCUUUUUUUUUUUUCUAAUCGUACUUUCAUUUCUUUUCUUUUUGUUUAUUCGAAUAGGAGGACAAAAUCGUCCUUUUAUUGGACAAAUGGAUCAAAAGGAACUUCUCCG
rnacentral:lncRNA from 1 species